rnacentral:lncRNA from 1 species
AACAAGAAAGCAAAUAAGAUACUGAAGUAGUUGGCUCAUUUGGGCUGCUGAUUUCUUUGGUGCGAGGAUACAAGUGAGUUGGCUUCCAUUCGGACGUCUACGAUGAGACGAUGGACAGGGUGAAAGGCCUCGGCGUUGAUACCGAUAUCACUGGUGGUGGCAGAAUACAGCACGACCCCAGUGCCAACGUCAUCAAAGUGUACAGCUACUCACAGGGGUUUGGGAAGGCAGACCACAGCAACACUGUAGAAAUUCUGAAGACUGCAUAUCCUGUUUACAACAUUACUUGGAGUGAUGAAGGAUACUGAUCUGCUCAGGUUGUAAUAUUUGACAUUGCAGCUUUUGAAAAUGGAGCAGGAUGUUGUGCCCUCUUUCCUAU